rnacentral:lncRNA from 1 species
AUUUAUGAGUGUGAUUAAUAUGAAAUAUGCUGUGCUAACAGCUCAUGAUGUGUUCUAAACAAUGAAGUGCAGAUAGCAAUGACAGGUUGCUGCAUCUGGGAAGUAGUAACCAUCUAUCUACAUAUACUUACAAACAAACACACAAAUGUUAUUAAUCUGAAUUAUGUUGUGUUAAUAGCUCAUGAUGUGUUCUCUAGAGUGAUGCACAGACAAAAAUAAGAGGUUGUUGAAGAACUUUCUUGGUAACUUACUU